GCACAGGCACAGAGCAAAGAACCAGGGGAGAGCUUCAUCUGUGAGAGCAACAACAGGGCAAGGACUCAGGGACCUCUGCUUCACCGAUCUACAGCUGGGCUGCUUCACUCACCAGCACCUACUCAGGAUUGACCGGCAGUAACCUCAAGAUGACCCCACCUACUGCUUUAGUGUGAACAGGUAAACCAAUAAGACACAUGCAAACUUUAAAUAUGUCACUCGGCCAACGUCAUAAUCAAAGUAGCUAAUUUUGUACAUUACCUCACACAGAGAAGGUACAUUUAUCAACCAAUCUAACAUCAAAACUGCUUUGUUGUGUAUUUGUGCAUUCAUUCAAACACCAAGACCUCAAGAAUGAAAUUAUGUAUUAUAAGAACUUCAUGCUAUAAACCAUUCUUUCCUUUUUUAAAGAUUAAACUCAAAAAGACCCUCUUGUAUUACAGAAUGUGACUCUUGCCAAAUGCAAGGUUUUGCAAUUCCAGCUUUAUAUACUGGUAUUACAGUGGACAUGCUGGUUUCACAUUAGUUUUUCUCCCCCAUGAUGAUGCACUACACUAUAAUGACAUAAUUUGUAUAAUGACUAUUCAUAGGACUGCAGCCAGUCUAUGAAUAUAACUUUAAAGUUGAACACCUUUAUGAUUUUUCUUGUUCAUCUCAGAAGAAAUACUUCCUAUAUUACAGUGAGUAUGAAAGAAAAGCUGAUAAAAGCAAAUUUAGACAACAAUUGAGUUUCAUAUUGUAUUUCCUACAUUUAGUGAUUCUAAGCAAGACCAUAUCUUAAAAUGUGAAAGCCAAGGUCGAAUUCCUAUCACAUUGCAGCAUGCUCGCAAUGCAAGAGGAUGGUAAUACCAAGCAUAUGGUAACUGCAGUUACACAGACUCUUCAAAGGAGCCCAGAGCUGACCUGGAGCAAGAACAAACUUGCAAGUGAAGACUGUGAAAGGAGUGCAGAAUUAUACCCUGGGCUACAUAUUGCCAAGGCUGUGAGAUACAGUAUGUUCCAGCAAAAUCUUAAUUUACAGCAUGAUGCCGAAUACCAUCUAUACAGCAAACCCAUCAAAGAGCAAGUGAUAGCUGGGAACUGAAGACACAUUAAGAUAGAGUCAUGAUUUUUGUUACAGCUGUAGCAGUAUCAUCAUGUUCUCUGGUGCAGAUUAAAAGCUUAGAUCAGAGAAAGUGGGGAAACAAAAGAGAAGAUAGAACAUUCAGGCUGCUUUUGUGUUCUUGGUCUUGUUUUGCAGGGACGUUUCAAAGACAGAAGUCAAAACAGCACACUGUCAACAUGGGAACAGCUGGUAAGAGCGGUAUCAUGGGGCAGAGGAAUGUCAAGAGCCAUAGAUCUUUUAUCCAUCAGGUUAUAAAAGCCACCAAGAUUAGUUUGAAACCAACAGCAACUCACCUUGUGCUAUUUUUGCUUAUAAUCAUUCCUACAAAACAUUCUGAAUUACAGAAUCAUAGCGUGAAUUCAUCAAAAACAAGGCUAUGCAAAUAUAUACAAAUGCAAAAUACAGCCAUAUUUUGUUGUAUUUAGUUACAGCAACUUUUGAUGAAUUUCAGAUGUGACAAGUUGAUUUUGUUAUAUACUUUACCCCAGGAUGCAGAGAUUACAUGAUGUGGAAAUAAUUUCCUGGUUCAGUUGCUGACAGGCUGUCAGCUGCAGGAGCAGCAGAAUACAAUACUUCUGACUGGCUAAAGCGUCACAGCAUAUAACGCUGCCAUCUUUACAGAGUUAAACAGCCAGUUGAACAGGCAUAUACAGCUGCUUCAGCCCAGUUUCCUUUUCAAGUCAACAUCACUUAGAAAAGAUACACCAAGCAACCAUAACUCAAAACGAAAUGACAAAACAGCUGAGUUUUUCUCUUUGUCUAAACAUUCCACUGAGAGCUUUUUUUUUCCAUGAGCAUGUUAAACACCCAGCACGGCUUGGCUGACUGUUGCACUGCAGAUGAACAGGAAUGAGGAAUAACUACAGGAAAGAUUUCUAGAAAGAUUUUUGACAAUAUAACUUGAAAAACACAAACAGCAGACCAACUGAAUAACAUGACAUGAAGUUAUAAAGUAGUGACCUUUGACACAGGACGUCCAAGUCUCCAAGACUAACUCCCUUUUCUGGCUAAUGUUACACAGCUGCUUUUCUAAUCUGUCUUAGCAGCCAGCUUGCCACAUCCUGCAAACAGGCAGCAUGGAAAAGCUCAGGGAAGUGGAAGAUCUUGACCUUCCAUUUGUAAUAUAUAUAUAUUUUUUUUUUUACUACGCCUCAAAAAUCCUCCUUAAAAAAUUUAAAAUAUGUAGUGCUGGAAUGAUUAAUCAGUUUUUUGAUCAACUAAAAACUCAGCAACUUUUGGACACCACUUUAAAAUCAAAAUUUCAAGCAGAAAUGUUUAAUAUUUGAUGGCUUCUGUUUCUCAAAUAUGUGGGUCUGCUGCUUUUCUUUAUUUGGGUGUGGAACACUUUGUCAGACAUAAUAUUACAGCAUGGUAGAGAAACUUUUCACAAUUUUAACAAACCAAAUGAUAACUCAAUUAAUCGAAAAUAACUGGCAGAUGAAUCAAUAACAAAAACAGCUGCAGCCUAAAAAAUACAGUGGACAAAAACUCAAGGGUGAAUUUUUUUCUUUAAAUGUUGGAGAAGGGAGCGAAGAAAUAACUGAUGAAUAGUGGAUCAGGCACUUUCUUGCACACUGGAAUUUUUCACAUCGGUAAAUCUGUGGCUCAGCUCAUAUGAACAAGUAGAAACAGAGCUGACAGGUAGCUAACUUGCAUGAAAUGCACCCAGCCAAAACAUUUUGAUACAAGUACAGCUACAUCUCUAACCCCCUAGCUGUAGCUAACACAUCACAGUCUUGAAUGCUGGAGUUGAAAUGGAGGACUAUAAGUUUCCUGUUACUUAAAAUGGGCAACCCAAUCGAUCAUUGUCUCUCUGACAAGAGGGGAAAAGCUCUUUGACGGGGAUGUCGAGUCCCCACAGACUCCAUUUCACUCCAUCAACUUGAUAGCAUUGGCAGGACUGAACAGGACUAGGCCCCAUCAAGUCUGAGGUGGCAGCCUCAUGGUAGAAGAAAAUACAUUCAAGUAUGGCCUAAGAAGUGACUCAUAGAGGCUUCAAAGCACCUUAUAAUACCCAACCAAGUUGAGGAAAAGCAGACGCUACCUGCUCGUGUCAAAGCAAGGCCAUGUUCCCUACCAUCCGAUGGGCUUCAGGUAAACCACACUAAACACUUCCAGACUUUCACGCCCUGUCUGAUCUCAUUUUAUCUCACUGCAUCAGCUCCUAAUCAGAUCUCCCACAGCAUAACAUGUAGUACAUGGGCUCCUCUCUUAAUUUCUUCCAGUGUCCAGUGCAAACUAAUUCUGGUUCGGAGUCAGCUCUUAUUCUUUCAGAUGGAGCUUAAUAUUCUCUUUUAACUGCUCUCUAAACUGCAAUAAAUUAAAAGGAUGUUUAUGCAAAUGCUUGCAAAGAAAACUUAUAUUCGAGUGAGUAUUAUGUUUCUUCAUGUUAUCCAAAGGGCUUGACCUAAAAGAGACUUACAUCCUUGAUGUGAAAGUUAAGCUGUGAUCCAAAUAUUUUGUAUCUUUACACAACAUCUCACAGCAUCUGGUUUUCUGCUUCCCAAACCUUAAUGAUCUGCCAAAAAACUGUAAGCCAUAGUGCUUGACUUUUAACCAGCAAAUCAUCAACUGAAUAUUUUGCUUUCUCUCAAAGGCCCAAAUGAAACAUUAUCUCCCGACUCAGAUUUAAAUUAAAGCCAUGAGCAGAACCCUGUUAGUGAGGACCAAGGGGGACCUUCCACCCACCACUUUAAUUGGUCACAAUUGACUGGCACAUGGGCAGGAUCAGGAAACACAAGCCCACUGAUGUCACGACCAACUGACCCCAGGGUGACAGGUUUGGAUAAUGUUCUUGCCCACUGCCCUCAGACCUAAAUAGGUUUGUCAAUGUUAUGCAUGUGGAUUUAAUUUCAAUCAGCAUGAUUAGUUCACAGAUGUUGAACUGCGAUCCCCCUUCAUGGGAAACCCACUCUUGACAGGAAACACUAUGUUUUUAUUAGCAACAAACAGAAAUAAAUGACUAAAACUGUGCCUCAGUUGCCAGUUUUAUCACACACAGUUGUAUUGUUGUU